rnacentral:tRNA from 1 species
GGUGGCAUAGCCAAGCGGUUAAGGCAAAGGUCUGCAAAACCUUGAUCCUCGGUUCGAUUCCGAGUGCCACCUCCA